ACGCAUUGGUGCAAGUGGACAUACAGGCUGGGAGUUGUGGCAGAAGCGACACUCAUCCAAGAGACUUUGUAGCAGCGAUGGUUUUAGGCAAGACAAGUUUGACUCUUCCCUUACUGAUUGGGGUCAUGAUGUUGGUACUGCUGACAUACAUUUCAAGUCAAGCACAGGCACUCCCAGCAUUCAGUGAGGAUUCUCCUGGCAGCACUGAGAGCUAUGAUACCGCUUGGAGUUAUGGCACCACUGGGUGCUAUGGGACCACUGGGAGCUAUGGAUUCAAUUCAGAUUCCAUGUUAAGGAAACCCUGAAAGUUUGGUUGAAUUAUGUGGAAAUUAUGAAGAAUCUUCACCUGAUAACAGUUAUAUUGAAGAUUCUUCCAGAAGUUCAUCUGCUUACAACUGAGCUAUUAUCAUUUGUGAUCAGUUAAGCAAGCAUAACAAUGUAUGUAUGAUUAAAGGAAAUUCAGCAAA